rnacentral:rRNA from 1 species
AUACGGAGGGUGCAAGCGUUAAUCGGAAUUACUGGGCGUAAAGCGCGCGUAGGCGGAUAUUUAAGUCUCAUGUGAAAGCCCUGGGCUCAACCUGGGAACUGCAUGGGAUACUGGGUAUCUAGAAUACAGUAGAGGGUAGUGGAGUUUCAGGUGUAGCGGUGAAAUGCGUAGAGAUCUGAAGGAACAUCAGUGGCGAAGGCGACUACCUGGACUGAUAUUGACGCUGAGGUGCGAAAGCGUGGGGAGCAAACGGGAUUAGAAACCCUAGUAGUCC